GAGCGAACUUCGCGGGAGCUUGCUCCCAAAAGUUAGCGGCGGACGGGUGAGUACACGUGGGCAACCUGCCUAUAAGACUGGGAUAACUUCGGGAAACCGGAGCUAAUACCGGAUAAUUCUUUUCUACUCAUGUAGGAAAGCUGAAAGACGGCUUACGCUGUCACUUAUAGAUGGGCCCGCGGCGCAUUAGCUAGUUGGUGAGGUAACGGCUCACCAAGGCCACGAUGCGUAGCCGACCUGAGAGGGUGAUCGGCCACACUGGGACUGAGACGCGGCCCAUACUCCUACGGGAGGCAGCAGUAGGGAAUCUUCCGCAAUGGACGAAAGUCUGACGGAGCAACGCCGCGUGAGUGAUGAAGGUUUUCGGAUCGUAAAACUCUGUUGUUAGGGAAGAACAAGUACGAGAGUAACUGCUCGUACCUUGACGGUACCUAACCAGAAAGCCACGGCUAACUACGUGCCAGCAGCCGCGGUAAU
rnacentral:rRNA from 1 species